GUGUAAUGCAGCCUCUCUUCGGAGCAUUGGUGACAGGUGGUGCAUGGUUGUCGUCAGCUCGUGUCGUGAGAUGUUGGGUUAAGUCCCGCAACGAGCGCAACCCCUAUCCUUAGUAGCCAGCGGGUAAGCCGGGCACUCUAGGGAGACUGCCAGGGAUAACCUGGAGGAAGGUGGGGAUGACGUCAAAUCAUCAUGCCCCUUAUGACUUGGGCUACACACGUGCUACAAUGGCGUAAACAAAGGGAAGCGAAACCGUGAGGUCGAGCAAAUCUCAAAAAUAACGUCUCAGUUCGGAUUGUAGUCUGCAACUCGACUACAUGAAGCUGGAAUCGCUAGUAAUCGCAGAUCAGAAUGCUGCGGUGAAUACGUUCCCGGGUCUUGUACACACCGCCCGUCACACCAUGGGAGUUGGUAAUGCCCGAAGUCAGUGACCCAACCGCAAGGAGGGAGCUGCCGAAGGCAGGAUCGAUAACUGGGGUGAAGUCGUAACAAGGUAGCCGUAUCGGAAGGUGCGGCUGGAUCACCUCCUUU
rnacentral:ncRNA from 1 species